rnacentral:rRNA from 1 species
UACGGAGGGGACUAGCGUUGUUCGGAAUUACUGGGCGUAAAGAGCUCGUAGGCUGAUAAGCAAGUUAGAGGUGAAAUCCUGGGGCUUAACCCCAGAACUGCCUUUAAAACUGCUUGUCUAGAGACCGGAAGAGGUAAGGGGAAUACCUAGUGUAGAGGUGAAAUUCGUAGAUAUUAGGUGGAACACCAGUGGCGAAGGCGCCUUACUGGUCCGGUACUGACGCUGAGGAGCGAAAGCGUGGGGAGCAAACAGG